rnacentral:rRNA from 1 species
UACGUAGGGUGCGAGCGUUGUCCGGAAUUAUUGGGCGUAAAGGGCUCGUAGGCGGUUUGUCGCGUCGGGAGUGAAAACCAUGGGCUUAACUCAUGGCUUGCUUCCGAUACGGGCAGACUAGAGGUAUGCAGGGGAGAACGGAAUUCCUGGUGUAGCGGUGAAAUGCGCAGAUAUCAGGAGGAACACCGGUGGCGAAGGCGGUUCUCUGGGCAUUGCCUGACGCUGAGGAGCGAAAGUGUGGGGAGCGAACAGGAUUAGAACCGGUACCGCGAGACCAA